GGGCGAAUAGCUCAGCGGCAGAGCGCUUCGUUUACACCGAAGAUGCCGGGGGUUCGAAUCCCUCUUCGCCCACCC
rnacentral:tRNA from 1 species